GUGAUAUAUAAGAUAUAUAUAUAUAUCUCUAAUAUGUUAUGUAUUAAGAAUUAUUCACUAUGCCACAAACUAUAGAUACAAAAGGAGUAUCUCUAGGGAAAGCCAAAAAAAAAAAAAAAAACACGGAAAGAAAGCAGGCUAGCAGAAGCUUCAAAAUAUCAAAAACUCUCUUACUGUGUGGCAAUAUAAACUAAAAACUAAUUCUCAAAAUCAUGGAGCUAGAAAAAAGAAUCAAGACAACCAAAAAAUAUGGUUAAUAAAAAUGAAGACAGAAGACAUAAAGAUGAUUAUGAGAACCAGGGUCUUUUCAAACAGGAGGUGAAAAAGGAUUGAGGAGAUGGACAUGGCAAUGAAGAAGAACUUAAUUUGCACACAGUCAACAGAGGGGGCAGGAGGACCAACACAGCUGCAGUUCUGCCACAUUAUUUAUUUUGGAAUUCCCAGACUGUUUGCAAAGUGGCUGCAUCAUCUUACAAUCUCACCAGUCCCAACAAACGAAAGCAAAAUGGAGUCCCACAUGCUAAGUGCCACAUGAUUAAACUGAAAUUUUAAGAAAGCAGGUAAAUUUCCAAACAGACCAGAUAUUUUUGAAAACAGAAGAGUCACAGAAACCAAUUGGAAAGGGCCUAGUCAACCUGAGUCAGUAUAAUAAGGUAAUCUCCACUGUUUUAACCCUUAUAAGAAAAGUAACCUGAAGUAAACUGAUGUUAACUGAUCUGCCUUUUUCUAUUAUUCUGUUUCCUUGUUCCCAUUUUACAAAAACCAACUGUUCUGCCAUGCCCAGUGGAGCACUCACUCUAUUUAUAGAAUAAAAUACUGCUGAAUUCUAGAAUCACAAAUAGAAGCCAAUUAGAUCUUAAAACUAAAUUUGUUAUAAUUUUGCCUUGUGACAAUAUGUAUAUCAAAACAUCACGUUAGGUAUUGUCUUAGUCUGUUUUCUGUUGCUAUAACAGAAUACCACAAACAGUAAUUUACAUAGAAAGAAGUUGAUUUGGCUCACAGUUCUGGAGACUGGGAAGUCCAAGAGUAUGGCACCAGCAUCUGGUGAGGGUCCUUCAUGGUGAAAGGGUGGAAGGUGGAAGUGAGCACUAGAGACAGAGAGCAAAUGGAGGCUGAACUUAUCCUUUCAUCAGGAGCCCACUCAUGGGGCUCUGCCCUCAUGACCUAAUCACCUCUUAAAGGGCCCACCUCCCAAUACCAUUACAUCGGCAAUUAAAUUUCCACACGAGUUUUGAAGGGGGCAUUCAAAUCAUAUCAAGAAAAAAAAAAAAAAAAAGAGUCAAGUCCCCUAGGCUUCUCUUCUAGGUAGAUUCCUGCUUCAGUCCCUUCCUAUAUAGAAACUCUGGAGUUUCCCCUACCUCAUACUCUUGCCUGUUUUCCAAGGCUCCAAGAGAAAAAGAAUAUCCUCUUUGCUUCUGAAAAAAACACUAGAGUUUAUUGGUCAGCACCAAGUGUGUUUAACUUUAAUUUCAGAUGGCAACUCGCACACAGAUGUGUUUAUGUUGCCCUUUAUCAGUAUUAUCACUGGCAAAGCCUUUGGUAAGCAACAGGAGAAGUGGCUGAACAGAAUAAUUCCAGGCUUGAAGUUCCUUUUUCAUCUGGUUCCCUGUGGGAAAAGGCCAUGAAAGCUAAGGGUGGUGGCCAAGUCCUGAAGGCCAAGGUCACCGUCAAACAUUUUCUGAGAAUCUACCAAAAGGUCUGUAUUAGGUCAAUAUGCGCGCAGUUGUGCUUGGAAGGAAUGAAGCUUUCAAAUAUGAGAACUCUACCUGAAAAAUCCUUGCCAUCAGUUCUUUGAAAUGAAACUCUAAGCUGAGAAGAACUCUCUGCUUAGGGGAAGUAGGACUAAAACUUGACUUUUGAUUUGGAGAACAUUCAAAAGACUCUAAGUUCAUGAGUGCUCAAUUUGUAAUUUUUUGCCCUUGAAAAAAAUAUAAGCAGGUGCAGUGGCUUACGCCUGUAAUCCCAGCACUUUGGGAGGCUGAGGUGAGUGGAUCACUUGAGCCCAGGAAUUCAGGAUCAGCCUGGACAACAUGGCAAAACCCCAUCUCCACUAAAAGUACAAAAAUUAGCCAGGUGUGGUGGUACGUUCCUGCAUGCCAGCUCUGGGGAGGAUUGAUUGAGCCUGGGAGGUUGAGCCUGCAGUGAUCCAUGAUGGCACCACUGUACUCCAGCCUGGGCAACACCAAAACCCUAUCUCAGGAACAACAACCACAACAAAGAAGCAACAAAAGGAAAUUUGUAUUUUUAGCCAUAGAGCCUUGAAGUUUGUUAUUACCACCAGGGAGAAAAUCCUUCAUUUCUACUUCAUUCCUGAAAUGGGUUAAUCACUGAUUAUACAUAGAAAAUCAACUCAAAAGAAAAAAAAAACACACAAAAACACCAGAUUUUACCUUUAAAUAUAUUUUGCACUCUGCAUACAACAGCAAGAAUGCUUUUCCUAAAAAUUCUUUUUGCUUAAGUCCCUUUUUUGCUUAAGUCUCUUUUCCUAAAUAUCUUUUUUGCUUCAGUCCCUUUUUUGCUUAAGUCUCUUUUCCUAAAUAUCUUUUUGCUUAAGUCCCUUUGUUGCUGCCGACAUCAUUUGAUUUCACACAGUUAUUAUAAGCCUUCAUUAUCCUGUUUCUCCUCCUCCUCUGAAUCCUCCUCUCCAACAGCAGGAUUUCUAUUUCCUUUCUUAGCCAACUAGCUGUGUGGCUAAGAUUAAGUCACUGGAGUCUCACUGUCUCUUUGUCUGUAAAAUUAUGAUUUUGGAGUAAGCAGAGUCCUGGCCUGCUAUGGGGUGUAUCAGAGUCAGGGUGAAAGGGUCUUAAGGUAUUUGAAAAUAAAGCAGCAGAUAAGCUUGACAUGGAGAGUAGCCUGCCUCUGGCUCUGUCUUCUGCAUUUCCUUAGGAGUGAAAAGCCCUGGUGAGCAAGCAGAUUCAGUGCUAAGGUUGUAGCCAAUGAUCAAAGGAAGAAAUACGUAUCUGUUUUUUUUUUUUCCUGAGACGGAGUCUCGCACUGUCGCCCAGGCUGGGAGUGUGCAUGCAUGUCGGCCU
ensembl:lncRNA